rnacentral:rRNA from 1 species
UACGGAGGGUGCAAACGUUGCUCGGAAUCAUUGGGCGUAAAGCGCGCGUAGGCGGACCGCUAAGUCGGAUGUGAAAGCCCUCGGCUUAACCGAGGAAGUGCAUUCGAAACUGACGGUCUUGAGUAUGGAAGAGGGUCGCGGAAUUCCCGGUGUAGAGGUGAAAUUCGUAGAUAUCGGGAGGAACACCAGUGGCGAAGGCGGCGACCUGGGCCAAUACUGACGCUGAGGUGCGAAAGCGUGGGGAGCAAACAGG